CGAUAAUCUUAUAAGCGCAUAAUGUUUUUUUUUAGCAAAAACGAACAGCAACUAAUCCUUAAAUAUCCAGGAAAAUAAUAACUGAUGGCUGUAACAGCAUACCCCCAUCAUCAUAAAGCCAAAAAUUUCUUCCACAGAAAAAAUAUGGACAGAACUCAUAUGGGGUUUUGUGCAACCCACAAUUUCAUAAACAAAAACAUUAUGCGCUUAUAAGAUUAUCG
rnacentral:misc_RNA from 1 species